UACGUAGGGUGCGAGCGUUUGUCCGGAAUUACUGGGCGUAAAGAGCUCGUAGGUGGUUUGUCGCGUUGUCCGUGAAAACUCACAACUCAAUUGUGGGCGUGCGGGCGAUACGGGCAGACUGGAGUACUGCAGGGGGAGACUGGAAUUCCUGGUGUAGCGGUGGAAUGCGCAGAUAUCAGGAGGAACACCGAUGGCGAAGGCAGGUCUCUGGGCAUUAACUGACGCUGAGGAGCGAAAGCAUGGGGGAGCGAACAGG
rnacentral:rRNA from 1 species